GGGGCUGUGGCGCAGGGGGAGCGCGCUUCCUUGGCAUGGAAGAGGUCGUGGGUUCAAGUCCCACCAGCUCCACCA
rnacentral:tRNA from 1 species